rnacentral:rRNA from 1 species
UUCCGGUUGAUCCUGCCGGAGGGAACCCCUAUCGGGUUCAGACUAAGCCAUGCGAGUCGGCUGGGGGCACUUGCCCCUGGCGGCGCACGGCUCAGUAAUACGCGGUCAACCUACCCUGGGGACCGGGAUAACCUCGGGAAACUGAGGCUAAUCCCGGAUGGGUGUAGGGUGCUGAAAUGCCCCUACGCCGAAAGUAGGCGGGAAAUGGACCGCUGAGGCCCCAGGAUGGGACCGCGGCCUAUCAGGUAGUAGGUGGGGUAACGGCCCACCUAGCCUACGACGGGUACGGGCCCUGAGAGGGGGAGCCCGGAGAUGGGCACUGAGACAAGGGUCUAGGCCCUAAGGGGCGCAGCAGGCGCGAAGAUUCCGCAAUGCCCGAAAGGGCGACGGAGUGAACCCGAGUGCCACCCGCUGAGGGUGGCUGUUCCCCUGUGUAAAAAGCAGGGGGUAGGAAGGGGAGGGCAAGGCUGGUGGCAGCCGCCGCGGUAAAACCAGCUCCCCGAGGGGUUCCCACGCAUACUGGGCCUAAAGCGUCCGUAGCCGGCCCUGUAAGUCCGCAGUUAAAUCCGCCUGUAGACAGGCGGGCUGCUGCGGAUACUGCAGGGCUAGGGAGCGGGAGGAGCCGGGGGUAUUCCCGGGGGAGCGGUAAAAUGCGUAGAUCCCGGGAGGACCACCAGUGGCGAAGGCGCCCGGCUUGAACGCGUCCGACGGUGAGGGACGAAAGCUGGGGGAGCAAACCGGAUUAGAUACCCGGGUAGUCCCAGCCGUAAACGAUGCC